AGUGAACGCUGGCGGUAGGCCUAACACAUGCCAGUCGAACGGCAGCACAGUAAGAGCUUGCUCUUACGGGUGGCGAGUGGCGGACGGGUGAGGAAUACAUCGGAAUCUACUUUUUCGUGGGGGAUAACGUAGGGAAACUUACGCUAAUACCGCAUACGACCUACGGGUGAAAGCAGUGGAUCUUCGGACCUUUCGCGAUUGAAUGAGCCGAUGUCGGAUUAGCUAGUUGGCGGGGUAACGGCCCACCAAGGCGACGAUCCGUAGCUGGUCUGAGAGGAUGAUCAGCCACACUGGAACUGAGACACGGUCCAGACUCCUACGGGAGGCAGCAGUGGGGAAUAUUGGACAAUGGGCGCAAGCCUGAUCCAGCCAUACCGCGUGGGUGAAGAAGGCCUUCGGGUUGUAAAGCCCUUUUGUUGGGAAAGAAAAGCAGCAGGUUAAUACCCCGCUGUUCUGACGGUACCCAAAGAAUAAGCACCGGCUAACUUCGUG
rnacentral:rRNA from 1 species